UCAAACGGGGCGUUGAUCAAAAUUAAUUAGACGGAAAGCAACAAGUCAAAAACUUAACCGGAAACAAAACGAAAACGAAUACCAACCCCAAAACAUUUGGCCAGAAAACAAAACGAAAACGGACGUACGAACCCAAAACUUCACUAGAAACCCAAACCAAAACCCAAAAUCCAUCACAGGGAACUCAAACCAACAUCCAAAACCCAAUUCCGGAAACCAAACCGAACCCCAAAACCCGAUCGAAAGAGUGGCGGAAAAAAUGAAAACCCUAAAAUAAUAACAUAACAUUAACAUUUGAGUUAAUAUUGCCAUUUGAGCUUUGACUGGAAAGAGUUUCACCAUUUGAGUAUCGUUAGUUGGUGAUUGUACGUUGUUUGCUUCAAAUACAAUAGAUUUGAGGAAAAAUGGACCUUGGGUGUUACUUGAAGAUGCAGGAAGGACUGAUGCUGUCAAGAUUGUAAAGUAUCAAGUGAAAGGACCAAACAACGGUGACUAAUUCUAGAGGGACCAAAGAUGUAAAUGUUCUUAGGGUUCGAGUAUAAAACCUAACCAAUGGCCACUGUAGCAAAAUACCACGACUGCAGCCUUCCUCUUUUCUUAUCGUUUGGAAAACCCCUUAUUAUUUUCGAUGUAAUUUUUUUAAUAUUUGUUCUUGUUUUUUGAUACAAAAACUGAGAUUCAAUCUAUGACUAAUAUGUUCUAUA